rnacentral:sRNA from 1 species
GGAGUGAGAGCUCCGAAUUGAAGCCCCGGUGAACGGCGGCCGUAACAAUAACGGUCCUAAGGUAGCGAAAUUCCUUGUCGGGUAAGUUCCGACCUGCACGAAUGGUGUAAUGAUUUGAGCGCUGUCUUGACGGGAGGCCUGGUGAAAUUGUAUUACCGGUGAAGAUACCGGUUACCUACAGUAGGACGGAAAGACCCCAUGGAGCUUUACUGUAGCUUGGUAUUGGGUUUUGACAUUGCAUGUAUAGGUGGGAGGCUGUGAAGUUCUGCUUGUGGGCAGAAUCGAGCCAACGGUGAGAUACCACUUUAGCGAGGCUAGAAUUCUAACCCUUACCCGUCAUCCGGGAAGGAGACAGUUUCAGGGGGGUAGU